UUGCCACCCCCCACCGUG
rnacentral:miRNA from 1 species